rnacentral:rRNA from 1 species
AAGUCGAGCGGAGACAGUGAGUAGCUUGCUAUGAGCUGUUUUAGCGGCGGACGGGUGAGUAACGCGUGAGCAACCUUUCCCAGACAGGGGAAUAACACACCGAAAGGUGUACUAAUACCGCAUAAGACCACGGGAUCACAUGGUUCUGAGGUAAAAGAUUUAUCGGUUUGGGGUGGGCUCGCGUCCGAUUAGGUAGUUGGUGAGGUAACGGCCCACCAAGCCGACGAUCGGUAGCCGACCUGAGAGGGUGAUCGGCCACAUUGGGACUGAGACACGGCCCAAACUCCUACGGGAGGCAGCAGUGGGGAAUAUUGGGCAAUGGAGGAAACUCUGACCCAGCAACGCCGCGUGGAGGAAGAAGGUUUUCGGAUCGUAAACUCCUGUCCUUGGAGACGAGUAGAAGACGGUAUCCAAGGAGGAAGCCCCGGCUAACUACGUGCCAGCAGCCGCGGUAAUACGUAGGGGGCAAGCGUUGUCCGGAAUAAUUGGGCGUAAAGGGCGCGUAGGCGGCUCGGUAAGUCUGGAGUGAAAGUCCUGCUUUUAAGGUGGGAAUUGCUUUGGAUACUGUCGGGCUUGAGUGCAGGAGAGGUUAGUGGAAUUCCCAGUGUAGCGGUGAAAUGCGUAGAGAUUGGGAGGAACACCAGUGGCGAAGGCGACUAACUGGACUGUAACUGACGCUGAGGCGCGAAAGUGUGGGGAGCAAACAGGAUUAGAUACCCUGGUAGUCCACACUGUAAACGAUGAAUGCUAGGUGUAGGGGGUACCGACCCCUUCUGUGCCGCAGUCAACACAAUAAGCAUUCCGCCUGGGGAGUACGGCCGCAAGGUUGAAAC